GCUCCAGUGGCGCAAUCGGUUAGCGCACGGUACUUAUACGACAGUACUAGGCAUGCCGGGGUUGUGAGUUCGAGCCUCACCUGGAGCA
rnacentral:tRNA from 1 species